AUGAAGAACGCAGCGAAAUGCGAUACGUAAUGUGAAUUGCAGAAUUCAGUGAAUCAUCGAAUCUUUGAACGCAUAUUGCGCUCUCUGGUAUUCCGGAGAGCAUGCUUGUUUGAGUAUCAGUAAACACCUCAACUUCCAUAUCUUUUUUGAAAUGGGAGUUGGACUUGAGUGAUCCCAACGCUUUUCCUCACCGAAAAGUGGCGGGUUACUUGAAAUGCAGGUGCAGCUGGACUUUUCUCUGAGCUAUAAGCAUAUCUAUUUAGUCUGCCUAAAAAACAGAUUAUUACCUUUGCUGCAGCUAACAUAAAGGAGAUUAGUUCUUGUGCUGACUGAUGCAGGAUUCACAAAGACAGGCUUCGGCCGACUUUGUAAACUCGAUCUCAAAUCAAGUAAGACUACCCGCUGAACUUAAGCAUAUCAAUAAGCGGAGGA
rnacentral:misc_RNA from 1 species